rnacentral:rRNA from 1 species
UACGAAGGGGGGCUAGCGUUGCUCGGAAUCACUGGGCGUAAAGCGCACGUAGGCGGACUCUUAAGUCAGGGGUGAAAUCCUGGAGCUCAACUCCAGAACUGCCUUUGAUACUGGGAGCCUUGAGUUCGAGAGAGGUGAGUGGAACUGCGAGUGUAGAGGUGAAAUUCGUAGAUAUUCGCAAGAACACCAGUGGCGAAGGCGGCUCACUGGCUCGAUACUGACGCUGAGGUGCGAAAGCGUGGGGGAGCAAACAGG